GGUUAUAUAGUUAAGGUGUAGGUAGAGACGUGGUUAUAUAGUUAAGGUGUAGGUAGAGACGUGGUUAUAUAGUUAAGGUGUAGGUAGAGACGUGGUUAUAGAGUUAAGGUGUAGGUAAAGACGUGGUUAUAUAGUUAAGGUGUAGGUAGAGACGUGGUUAUAUAGUUAAGGUGUAGGCAGAGAUGUGUCUACCUCUGAUGAC